GCUUGAGAAAAUCCAGAGAAUACGGAAGCCUUAUUGAAGACAUAUUGAAAUAAUUACAACCGUCUGGAAAGACUUACGUAUAUUAAAAUAUGAAGAGCUGGGCGAGAAGGGCUGCCAUUUGUGCUGUGUGUGAGCAGCAACUUGGCGUCUCAACCCAGCUUCUGUUUUCCCUGACGCCGCGUUCUUCAUUACUACCCAUUUCCUGACUACCUUUCAAAGGAGCGACGCGCGCGACACUAGGACGCGAAAACCAUCCGGGAAGACGGCGCGCUGGCGAAACUCGAGCCGCCGCCUCUGCGCGUGCGCACCGCUCCUCGGCCCCUUCCGCCUCCGCCUCGGAAGCUCCUCCUAGGCGGCCGUCGGAGGCCACGGCAAGGUCUAUUCUCUGUAGAGUCGGGUUUUCUCGCCAUCUGUUACGGGUCUUCGGCUGCACCCACCGCUCAGCGCCUGCGCAGACUGAGGACCACGGUCACCAUGACAGCGACCGCCGGGGCCCCUGGAUCUUGGAGUGAAAACAUACUGGAAUAUUUUCUCAGAAAUAACCAGAUCACAACAGAAGAUGGCGCCCAGAUCAUCUGGUAUCAUGCGGCUAACCACAAGGUGCAAGUGAAUGAGGCACUGAGAAGUACUGCUCAUAUGAUAGAGGCUGAUGUCAUUUUUCCAAGUGCUGGAUCAGAACAUGGCCAACCAAUCAUGGCUCAUCCUCCUGAAACAAACAGUGAUAAUACUUUACAGGAAUGGCUGGCUGAAGUUAUAAAAAGCAAUAAAGGCAUCAAACUGGAUUUUAAGAGUCUGGCAGCUGUAGAGCCAUCCAUGAUGCUCUUGGAAAAUGUGAAGAGGCAUCUGAAGCGUCCAGUGUGGAUUAAUGCUGAUAUUCUUCCUGGUCCAAAUGGAAAUAGCAGAGUAGUGGAUGCAAAACCUUUUAUAGACACUGUGACAUCCUUCUUUCCAGAUGUGACAUUUUCCCUAGGUUGGACAACAGGAUGGCAUCCUGAGAAAGUCAAUGAAGGUUACAGUUGGAUAAUGGUGAAAGAGAUGGAAUAUAUAUGUAAUGAACUAAAUCAGCUUGUAACAUUUCCUGUCAGAGCAGCAUUAGUCAGGCAGUCUUGUUCUCAGUUACUUUGGCUGUUAAAGCAAUCAAACAGAAAACCCCCGGAAGGGAUAGCGGGGCCACUUAUAAGUGAAUAUGAAUGUUGGGAACGUCAGUGACAUUUGUGUCUCUUCACUGUCCCUUCCAGUCGUGCUUUCGACUGUGGCCUGGCUACUGAAGAAACCAGGUACAGCCUGACUGUUUGGACUGGAAAAAACGAUAGCUAUUCCACUGAAGAUUUACUUUUUAUUAGAGGCCAUUUUGACAAAAAAAGAGUUUUCUAUGACAUCUUGGAACCACAAAACCAUGAAUUUAAACAAGCCA